rnacentral:rRNA from 1 species
GGUGGAGCGAUUUGUCUGGUUUAUUCCGAUAACGAGCGAGACUCUAGCCUGCUAAAUAGUGACUGGAUUUUUAUGUCUAGUCUACUUCUUAGAGGGAUAAGCGGUGUCUAGCCGCACGAGAUUGAGCGAUAACAGGUCUGUGAUGCCCUUAGAUGUCCGGGGCUGCACGCGCGCUACAAUGGAAGAAUCAGCUGGCCUAUCCAUUGCUGAAAGGUAUUGGUAAACCGUUGAAACUCUUCCGUGACCGGGAUAGGGAAUUGUAACUAUUUCCCUUGAACGAGGAAUUCCUAGUAAGUGUGAGUCAUCAGCUCACGCUGAUUACGUCCCUGCCAUUUGUACACACCGCCCGUCGCUGUCCGGGACUGAGCUGUCUCGAGAGGACUGCGGACUGCUGUAUUGAGGCCUUCGGGUCGCGGUAUGGCGGGAAACAGUUCAAUCGCAAUGGCUUGAACCGGGUAAAAGUCGUAACAAGGUAUCUGUAGGUGAACCUGCAGAUGGAUCAUCG